AUUGAACGCUGGCGGCAGGCCUAACACAUGCAAGUCGAACGAGUGGCGGACGGGUGAGUAAUGUCUGGGAAACUGCCUGAUGGAGGGGGAUAACUACUGGAAACGGUAGCUAAUACCGCAUACCAUCGGAUGUGCCCAGAUGGGACUAGCUAGUAGGUGGGGUAAAGGCUCACCUAGGCGACGAACCCUAGCUGGUCUGAGAGGAUGACCAGCCACACUAGAACUGGGACCCGGUCCAGGCUCCUGCGUGAGGCGGCAGUGGGGAAUAUUGCACAGUGGGCGCAAGCCUGAUGCAGCCAUGCCACGUGUAUGAAGAAGGCCUUCGGGUUGUAAAGUACUUUCAGCGGGGAGGCGUUACCCGCAGAAGAAGCACCGGCUAACUCCGUGCCAGCAGCCGCGGUAAUUC
rnacentral:rRNA from 1 species